UGACAGCCUGAGAGUAAAUCCAUGGCACAGACAGAUAAGGGUUUGUGUGCUGCAGAGCCUUAAUGCUUCAAGAUAAGUUCCUUGGGAGGAGGAUAUCGAGAAGGACUGAUGGUGUUCCCAGCCUGUGAAAGCACUGCAAAAUCCUGUCUCUGGUUGCUUUCUAACACAGGGUCAUGGAAAUUCAUCCUUUACCUGUGUCACAAGCUUUCUGGGGAUGAUUAGUGUUUGAAAGAGUGAAAAGAUGAAGAGAAUGUACAUGUUUAUACAGGACUGUAAAACUGCAGCUUUGACUCUUGUUGUUUCUUCAUAUUUUUAAGAACUCAGUACACCUGCAGCUGCUCUCAGCUCUCUGUCCUCUCCUUCAGCAGAGCUGAUGCACAGGACUUUCAGCUGUGGUCGGCCAGUGCCUGAGGCAUUGUGCUGA